CUUUUUGGGAGAGUUACCCCGGGAACUGGGGCUAAUAACUGAUAGGCGAGGGUACCUGGAAUGGUUUCUCGCCUAAAGGACGUUAGAACAUGCUCUUAACGUUGCCCAAGGAUGGGACUGCGGCCGAUCAGGUUGUUGGUAGGGUAAUGGCCUACCAAGCCUAUUACCGGUACGGGCCCUGUGAGGGGUGGCCCGGAGAUGGGAACUGAGAAAAGGUCCCAGGCCCUACGGGGCGCAGCAGGCGCGAAAACUCCACAAUGUACGAAAGUGUGAUGGGGUUAUCCCGAGUGCCGUCCGAUGAGGAUGGCUUUUGCCCGGUUUAAGGAGCCGGGUGAAUAAGAGGGGGGCAAGACUGGUGUCAGCCGCCGCGGUAAUACCAGCCCCUCGAGUGGUAGGGACGAUUAUUUGGCCUAAAGCGUUCGUAGCCUGCCCAGCAAGUCCUUUGUGAAAUCCGGCGAUCCAAUCGUCGGGCGUGCAUAGGAUACUGUUGGGCUUGGGGACGGGAGAAGUCGAUGGUACUCUAGGUGUAGGGGUGAAAUCCUAUAAUCCCUAGAGGACCACCAGUGGCGAAGGCGGUCGACUAGAACGUGCCCGACGGUGAGGGACGAAAGCUGGGGGAGCGAACCGGAUUAGAUACCCGGGUAGUCCCAGCUGUAAACGAUGCAGGCUAGGUGUUGGGUCAGCCACGAGCUGCCCCAGUGCCGCAGGGAAGCUAUUAAGCCUGCCGUCUGGGAAGUACGGUCGCAAGGCUGAAACUUAAAGGAAUUGGCGGGGGAGCAC
rnacentral:rRNA from 1 species